GUCUCUUCAGAGACAUCUGAUAAAAUUGAAACGAUACAGUGAAGAUUAGCACGCCCCUGCGCAAGGAGGACAAGCACAAAUCGAGAAAUGGCUGCCAUUUAA